UACGUAGGGUGCAAGCGUUAAUCGGAAUUACUGGGCGUAAAGCGUGCGCAGGCGGUUAUGCAAGACAGAUGUGAAAUCCCCGGGCUCAACCUGGGAACUGCAUUUGUGACUGCAUGGCUGGAGUGCGGCAGAGGGGGAUGGAAUUCCGCGUGUAGCAGUGAAAUGCGUAGAUAUGCGGAGGAACACCGAUGGCGAAGGCAAUCCCCUGGGCCUGUCCUGACGCUCAGGCGCGAAAGCUAGGGGAGCAAACAGG
rnacentral:rRNA from 1 species